rnacentral:rRNA from 1 species
GACGAACGCUGGCGGCGUGCCUAACACAUGCAAGUCGAACGGGAUCCGGGCUUUCGGGUUUGGUGAGAGUGGCGAACGGGUGAGUAACACGUGAGUAACCUGCCCCCUUCUUUGGGAUAACGUCGGGAAAUCGGCGCUAAUACUGGAUAUUCUUGCUGCAUCGCAUGGUGUGGUUUGGAAAGGGUUUCUGGUGGGGGAUGGGCUCGCGGCCUAUCAGCUUGUUGGUGGGGUGAUGGCCUACCAAGGCUUUGACGGGUAGCCGGCCUGAGAGGGUGUCCGGCCACACUGGGACUGAGACACGGCCCAGACGCCUACGGGAGGCAGCAGUGGGGAAUAUUGCACAAUGGGCGCAAGCCUGAUGCAGCGACGCCGCGUGAGGGAUGACGGCCUUCGGGUUGUAAACCCCUUUCAGUAUGGAACAAGGAUCCUUCUUUUGGGGGGUUUGAGGGUACGUGCAGAAGAAGCGCCGGCUAACUACGUG